UACAGAGGUCUCAAGCGUUGUUCGGAUUCAUUGGGCGUAAAGGGUGCGUAGGCGGCGCGGUAAGUCGGGUGUGAAAUCUCGGGGCUUAACUCCGAAACUGCAUUCGAUACUGCCGUGCUUGAGGACUGGAGAGGAGACUGGAAUUUACGGUGUAGCGGUGAAAUGCGUAGAUAUCGUAAGGAAGACCGGUGGCGAAGGCGGGCCUCUGGACAGUUCCUGACGCUGAGGCGCGAAAGCCAGGGGAGCGAACGGG
rnacentral:rRNA from 1 species